rnacentral:rRNA from 1 species
ACGGGAGGCAGCAGUGAGGAAUAUUGGUCAAUGGUCGUAAGACUGAACCAGCCAAGUAGCGUGAAGGAUGACUGCCCUAUGGGUUGUAAACUUCUUUUGUUCGGGAAUAAAGUGCCGCACGUGUGCGGUUUUGUAUGUACCGUUCGAAUAAGCAUCGGCUAAUUCCGUGCCAGCAGCCGCGGUAAUACGGAAGAUGCGAGCGUUAUCCGGAUUUAUUGGGUUUAAAGGGUGCGCAGGCGGCACGUUAAGUCAGCGGUGAAAUGUCGGGGCUCAACCCGGGCACUGCCGUUGAAACUGGCGAGCUUGAGUACGGAUGAAGUUGGCGGAAUGUGAUGUGUAGCGGUGAAAUGCUUAGAUAUGUCACAGAACACCGAUUGCGAAGGCAGCUGACUAAUCCGCAACUGACGCUCAGGCACGAAAGCGUGGGGAUCGAACAGGAUUAGAUACCCUGGUA